ACUCCUACGGGAGGCAGCAGUAGGAAUAUUGGACAAUGGGCGAAAGCCUGAUCCAGCAAUGCCGCGUGAGUGAUGAAGGUUUUAUGGAUCGUAAAGCUCUGUCGUAUAGGAAUAAAUGCCUGUGGUUAAUACCCGCAGGAGCUGAAGGUACUAUACAAGAAAGCACCGGCUAACUACGUGCCAGCAGCCGCGGUAAUACGUAGGGUGCUAGCGUUGUUCGGAAUUACUGGGCGUAAAGCGUAUGUAGGCGGCCAUUUAAGUCAGAUGUGAAAG
rnacentral:rRNA from 1 species